rnacentral:sRNA from 1 species
GCCGGGUGGGGUAGCACACACCUGUAAUUCCAGCGGCUUGGGAGGCUGAGGCAAGAGGAUUGCUAGUUCAAAGCCAGCCUCGGCAAACAUGAGGCACUAAGCAACUCAGUGAGAUCCUGUCUCUA